rnacentral:lncRNA from 1 species
AGAAAAAGGCGGACUGAAGCUAUCUUAGCCACGGGAGAGAAGGUAUUACUGUAAUCAAGCCUAAAUAUCUGAGUAUAUCCCUUGGCAACAAGACGAGCCUUAAGACGAUCAACCUUACCAUCUGGACCAACCUUGACUGCAUACACCCAACGACAACCAACANNNNNNNNNNNNNNNNNNNNNNNNNNNNNNNNNNNNNNNNNNNNNNNNNNNNNNNNNNNNNNNNNNNNNNNNNNNNNNNNNNNNNNNNNNNNNNNNNNNNNNNGAGGGACGAGCUCCCAAGUACCACUCGUAUGUAAAGCAGACAUCUCGUCAAUCAUAGCAUGUCGCCAUCCUGGAUGAGACAAUGCUUCACCAGUAGACAUGGGGAUGGAAACAAAGGACAAAAAAGAUAGAAAAGCAUAACAAAGGGAUGACAAAUGAUGAUAACUAAGACCGACAUAAUAGGGAUUAGGACUAAGGGUGGUCCGUAUACCUUUCUGAAGUGCAAUCGGUGUACUAGGAAGAGACAAGUCCGCAGUAGGAGCAGGGUCAGGUGCAGAACGUGAAUCGGCUGGGCCUGAUGCUAGGUGCGAACGAAGAUGAUAUGUCAAAAGCGGUGUUCCUGUGACGGGGAGUCUAAGAGGAGCCAUACUACACUCCGCAGCUGUUGGAAUAGGUAAGACUUCAGUAGUGGAAGGUAAAGGAGGAGCUAUAGUAGACUCAGGUAAGACUUCUGUGGCGGAAGGUGAAGGAGUAGCUAUAGUAGACUCCGUAAAGGUCGGUAUAGAUAGGAUCUCAGAUAUAUCAAGGUGGUCAGAAUGGUCAGAAGAGGUAAAGAAAUGUAUAGACUCAAAAAAUGUGACGUCGGAGGACAUAAAGUACCUAUGAAGAUCAGGUGAGUAACAACGAUAUCCCUUCUGAACACGAGAAUAACCAAGGAAGACACUAAAGGUUUAGACUUAAAAAAUGUGACGUUAGAUGACAUAAAAUACCUACAAAGAUCAGGUGAGUAACAACGAUAUCCCUUCUAAACACGAGAAUAACUAAGGAAGAACACUUGAGAGCACGAAGAGCUAACUUAUCUUUCCCGGGGGCUAAGUUAUGAACGAAACAAGUGCUCCCAAAAACACGAGGGGGAACAGAGUAUAAGGGUGAUUGAGUAAACAAUACUGCAUACGGUAUCUGAUUCUGUAUGGGAGAAGAAGACAUCCGAUUAACUAAAUAACAAUCUGUGAGAACUGCAUCGCCCCAAAAACACAGCGGAACAUGAGACUCAAUGAGAAGUGUGCGAGCAGUCUCAAUGAUAUGCCUAUUCAUUCUCUCUACAACUCCAUUUUGCUGAGUGGUAUAAGGACAAGAGGUCUGAUGAAUAAUUCCUUGAGGGGUCUAAGGCAUUAUCACUGCGAAAACUACGAAUAGAAACACCAAAUUGAUUUUUAAUUUCAGCACAAAAUUCUGAAAAAUAGAAAACAACUCAGAGCGAUCUUUCAUUAAGAAAAUCUAAGUACAUCUUGAAUGAUCAUCAAUGAAACUAACAAAAUAACAGAACGAUCUUUCAUUAAGAAAAUCCAAGAACAUCUUGAAUGAUCAUCAAUGAAACUAACGAAAUAACGAAAUCCCAAGGUUGAACAGACUCUACUAGGACCCCAUAUAUCAUAAUGAACUAAAGAAAAAACAGACUCUGCAUGACUCUCACUGACUCUACAUGGACCCCAUAUAUCGGAAUGAACUAAAGAAAAAACAGACUAUGCAUGACUCUCAAUACUACGAGGAAAGGAGGCUCGGGUUAUGUUUCCCGAGCUGACAUGACUCACACUCUAAUGUGGAUAAACUAGACAAACUUGGUACCAUUUUCUGAAGCUUGGAUAAGCUUGGAUGUCCUAAACGUAUGAGAAUUAGGUCCGGAGGAUCUGUAACUAGACAUGCCUUGGAGGAUUUUAGUGAGUUAAGGUAGUAAAGGCCUUCUGAUUCAAGUCAAGUUCCAAUCGUCUGCAUCAUACUGCGAUCUUACAUAAUAAAGGAAUCAUCAAUAAAAUAUAUACCACAAUGGAGAGCACAAGUCAAACGACUAACAAAUGCAAGAUUAAAAGAACAGACAGGGAUAUAGAGAAUGGAAUCUAGAGUGGCAGAGGGUAGGGGAGUCACUUGUCCAACUCCUUUUGCUUUGGUUUGAGACCCAUUGGCUAAAGUAAAAAUGGGAAGAGACUGUGAAUACACAAUAUUUGACAAAAGUGAUUUAUUACCAUAAAUAUGAUCAGAAGCGGCUGAGUCCACAACCCAUUAUCCAAGAGUACUAGACUGGGAAACAAAAGCAAAAGAAUUACCAGCAACAGAAUUAUUAGUCUGAGCAAGAGAAGCUACUUGUGGAGAUGUCUGCUUACUUGCUCGAUACUCAAGGAACUCAUUAUACUCCCCUUCAGAUAAAGAAAAUCCCUGGUUACCUGUAGUCUCAAUCUGAGCAACAUAAGCAUAUUUGGCUGGGCGGCCAGGCAAAGAAUAGCACACAUCACGAGUGUGUCCAAGUUUAUGACAAUAAGAGCACUUGGGUCUAGAUCUUCCAAAACGACCUCCUCCUCGUCUACUCUCCAUAGUAUGAGAUGCCCGAUUUUCCACUGACUGGGAUACAAGGACAGAUGAGUCAAGUGUCUGUGAGCUCACUGGGUAACUUGGUGCUGCAGCAAGGCGAAGUAAUCGAGGGAAUAGUUCAUCAACUGUGGGGACAGCCGGACUAGCCAAAAUCUGGUCACGUACUAAAUCAAGGUCAUUAGAGAGUCCAGCUAGUGUAAGAAAUAGAAACAUUUCUGUCGUUGCUCUUGUUGCUUUUCAAUACUAGCAGAAACUGGCAUCAGCAUCUCAAAUUCUUUCAUGACUGCCUGUACUUGUCCCGAGUAAGUAGACAUAUCCAAUUCCUGUUUCUUCAAGCUUGUCAUUCACGAUAUUACAUCAUAGAAACGAGAUAUGUCAUUAGUGUAUAAAUUACGAGCCUUUUCCCAAACUAAAUAACAUGUCUGGAAUGUACAGAACAAGGGCAUCAACUUGGAAUCAAUAUAUCAUCAUAGAUACUACAUAACUGAGCAUCGACCUUCUCCCACAUUAUUUUGGCCUUUUCAUAACCUUCGCUAGCCUUUUUUGUUAAAUGAUCUUGACUCCUUGAACUUCUAACCACAAUUCGACAGACGAAGCCUAAGCUAAGUAGUCUGAACCUCCCAUUAAUGGUUCUGAGGUAAUCAUAACACAAGAACUGCCAGUAUCAACUUGGAAAUCAAUAGAUCGUCACAAGAUACUACAUAACUGAGCAUCGACCUUCUCCUACAGUGUUUUGGCCUUUUCAUCACCUUCGCUAGCCUUUUUGUUAAAUGAUCGUAACUCCUUGACCUUUACACCACAACUCGACAAACGAAGUCUAAGCUAAGUAGUUUGAACCUCCCAUUAAAGAUUCUGAGGUAAUCAUAACACCAAAACUGCCAGAACCCGGGUUUCUAGACCCGAAAGUAUAGACUCCCAAAGACAUCGUUGGAUUAUCAUCGAAUAACAGAAAAAAAUCAACUCACAAUUUGCUGAAACAGAUGAAGGAAACACUGUGUUUUGUCGGAAAAGUACUGUAGCUGCCAGAAAAAUCAGUGUAGUCACCUGAAAAAACUCAAAGUGGUCGGAAUCAAAUGAAAACAGGAUGGGUAGGCUCGGAAUUAGUGAGCGACCCAACUGUUCUGAAGAAACUUUUCAAAUUCAGAUCGGAAGGGCUCUCAUAUGCCGGCGCGUGGAACAGAUGCGCCGCCGCCGGCAUAUCUUCGACCGGCACGUGGCUGGCUAUUUUACGGUGAUUUUUUCUGGGGUUUGGUCGGAUCUCUCUUGGGAGCCUUACGGUGGUGUCGGAUUUUGUACAACAUUGAUAAUUAGUGACUUUGACGCAAUUAGUCACUUAGGUCACCGGAAAAUUACACGAUGACUUAGUUUUUGCUCCCCGGCUAUUGCUGGAAUGACGCACAAUGAUAAAUUUUUCACGAUUGCUCUAUACCAUGUGAGAAUGCACGGGAGAAAAAUAUUAUUGAUAUAUUACUUACAAUGCUACAAUUAGCGCUAUAUAUACACACAUAACAUAUCUUACUCCUAAUACAUAUUGGAUUAGGGUUAUUCACUCCUAUUUACACUAUUAUUCUAAUAUUUACCCAAAAAAAGAAUCUAGUAAAUCAUUUGGACCAUCAAACAGCAGUUGCCUAUAUAGCAUAAAUAAUUCUAAAGGUACACCAUAUCUUGCACUUUAUCCAAUACAAUACAACAUCAGUUGGACAUGGUUUAUCCCAUGACAUUGAAUGUGAGAAAAUUUGAUUUCUGGUCUGGACACAUAGUUGUGUAUCCUCAGAGUGUCUCAGGAGAGAUCCUACUUCUCUUUUAUCUUAGAUUAGAUGCCAGGUCAAAAUAAGAGGAAUGAGAGAAAAUUCAACUCCAAAGCUAUAGACUAUUCCCUCAACUUUGGUUGGAAUUUUAUGUACUAUUUAUGUGGUUUACACUUUGGAAGUUAUAGAUUCUAGAGAAUCACAAUCUACUCUGGCUGAAUACAGUAUGAACUGAGAAAGAAGAGAUGGGGAAUAUGAUGAUUGAUUAUUCCCUCAGACUAUUCAGGGUUAAAUGACCUUUACAAGGAUUACAAAUAAGGAAAGAAAUAAUAGAGAAUAAAUAGAUUCCUACAAAAUCUCCUAAUUACUUAAUUAGGGGGAAUGGGAUAUGGGACUAUUUCUAUUUGAAUAGUACAUAUUCUUGCCAUAUUUAACAAAAUCAAUAUAAAUCAUUAGCACAUCUUUUGUAUUAGUUACCACAAUCAACACCUCAAGUUGGAGUAUCGUGCCAUAGGCUUCAAGCUUGUUGCAAAAGUUUCCAAACAAAGAUCCUCAGAGAGAUUUGAUAAGAACAUUUGCGGCCGUUUGAUCCGACGAAGUUGCUACCUAUUGAGUCCCACAUCGAUGCAUUAGGGAUGGGAUGGUGUCUUUAUAUGGUCUUGGUUAAUCACCUCAUUUGCUAGCUUUUGUGUUUGAGUGAGGCCCAAGGUCCACUUAUUUAUCAUGGUAUCAGAGUCAGGCCCAUCUCGAUUUAUUGUUUGUCCGAUGUUUGGCCUGCAUCUUAUAUUGUCCACGCUCCAGAUGUCCAAUUUUGGGUGUGCGCGGGGAGAGGGUUGUUGAGUCCCACAACAGUGCUUUAGGGUUGGGAUGGUCUCUUUAUAUCGUCUUGGGUAAUCCUCACCUCAUGAGCUAGCUUCUAGGAUUGGUUGAAUUAACCUAAGGUCCAUUACUUUAUCAGUAUCAACGCAUCAAGACUUAAUCUUCUACAGUUCUACUUAAGAAAUGAAAAUCCACCUCUUUAUACUUUGUCAUUUCAUGAAAGAUUGAAUUUGAGGGAAUGUAAAGGGUAGCUUUGAUGUCACAUAUCAUUUUCAUCUAUUUGAUUUUAACACGCCUUAACUCUUUGGAGAAGUUGCAAAGGUCAUAACUCGAUAUUUUAGUUCUAUAACAUCUCGCUUUUGCUUUUUCCAAGAGAUUAGGUUCCUACCUAUCAUAACACAAUAUUCAGAAGUAGAACGUCUAUCUCACUGAGAACCUGCCCAAUCAGCAUCAAUAUCCAACAAUGUCUGACCAAAGCUUCUCUUCAUAUAACACUGUUUGUCCUAGAGCUCUUCUCAUGUAUCUAAAGGAUGUGAACUACUACGGCUCAAUGACCACUACGAUGAAAUUUGAGGAACUAAUAUGCCACACUUUCUAGAAAUGAAUUAUUUGAUUGUAUGAUGGUGGGAUAAUUCACUUUGCCAACCAGUCCUUGAUAUCGGUCAAUCUUCACAUGGCUCCCCCUAUCCAAAGUGUACCUUUUUGUGAGAUAACAAUGCCUAUCUUAAAUUGUGCUAACUCGAAAAUGGAAUGUCUUGGAAAUUGUUAAAGGCCUAAAGUGAUGGUAUUAGAUGAUAUAUCGAGCCCAACACUAUCUGAGCAAAAACCUUGGUGGUUGCUCCACAUAUACCUCGUAGGCUAACUCUCAGUGCAUUUAUUCUCAAUAUCCGACUGAUGAAGCGUCCAACAAAAGAUUGUUGCUAAGGAGAUAAGUGGAAUAUGCGACUGUAAUACCAUAAAUCUAAGAGCACCUAUUCGCAACAAGGCGAGCUUUCUUCCAAUCAAUUUUGCUAGCAGGACUCGCUUUACGCAGCGACACCCAACAUAAACUUAACCAUUCGGUAACUAAACCAAUUCCAAGUGUUAUUAAUGUAAAAAGUAAUCUCUAUCAUGACAUCUCUCCACCUUUGACAUUCCAAUGCUUUGCUAAUAGUUUUUGGUAUAGGAACAAUAGAUAAAGUAUACACAAAUCUAUAAUAUGAUACGGAGAUGAUAACUCAAAUUGUGUGUGUAUCUGUGUGUGAUGAGUGAUGACCCUAAAGGUCAUCACUUGCUUUUGAACUAAAUUCUGUGUUUCCGAGGCCUUGAAAACUUCAUUUAUCAUCACCUCGAUUUAUGUUCACAAUCCAGGCGCGUAGUCAAAAGCUUAAAUAUAAAAAUCUGUGGAAAGUGAUAAAAUUUGGCUAUAAAAUGAGUAAAUUUGACUUCGGUCAACGUUUUGGGUAAACAGACCCAGACCCGUGAUUUGAUGGUCUCUAAGGGUCCGUAGGAAAAUAUGGGACUUGGCCAUAUGCCCGGAAUUGAAUUCCUAGGUCCCAAGCCCGAGAAAUGAAUUAUUAAAGAAAAUUAUUUGAAAAUGUUUAAAGAAAUUUAAAAUGAAAUUUGCUUAGAACAUGAUGGUAUAGGCUCGUAUUUUGGUUCCGCCGCCCGGUAGAGGACUUAUAUAUGAUUUAAGACGUUUUUGUGAAAUUUGAUGAAAAACAGAUGUCAUUUGACGUGAUUCGGACCUAAAUUGCUAAAAAUGAUGUUUUAUGAAGUUCGAGAAAAAUUCUUUGAUUUUGAGGUUUAACUCAUUGUUAUUGAGGUUAUUUUGGCGAUUUGAUUGCACGAAUAAGUUCGAAUGAUGGUAUUAAGUUAGUACAUAUGUUAGGUUAGGAGCCCCGAGAGCUCGGGUGUGUUUCGUAUGUGUUUCGGAAAGUUUUGGACUUAAGAAAAGUUGCAGAAAACAGUUGUUCUUCUUUGCGUUCUCGGGAUGGCCCUCGCAAACACGAUGUGUAAAUUAUGCUGAAGGAAUUUCCUUCUACGCGAACGCGAGGCAUUGGGAGAUUAUCCCUUCGUGAACGCGGUCCGGCCACGCAAACGCAAAGGCGAAUUGAGCCUGGGCGAGGGUGGGGCAUUUGUCUUACACGAACGCGAGGGCUCGAGGAGAUUCUUCUCCGCAAACUCGAGCCCAUUUAUGCGAAUGCGAAGGUCUACAGGCCUGACACGACGAGUCUGUCGCAAACGCAAAGAACGUUGUUGCCCAGUUAUUUUAAAGUCUCAAAAGCAGAAUACUUACGGGAUUCUUAUAAAAUUUCACAAACCACUUCUUCUCCAAAGCUCUUAGGCGAUUUUUGAAGCAUUUCUUCACCGUAACCUCUUGGAUAAGUAAUCUUUAACUUGUUUUCUUCCAUUUUUAUCAUCAGCAACUAGACUUCUAGGCUUAAAACAUGUGAUUUAGGGGUAGAAAAUUAGGGAUUUGGGUAAAAUUAGGACUUUUUAAUUAUUUAUGAUUUAGACCUCGUUUUGGGUCGGCUCUGAAAACAAUUUAUAUAUUCGGGCUCGUUGGUGAAUGGGUGAUCGGAUUUUGGUUAGAACCUCGUGUUUUGACCAAGCGGGCCCGGGAUCGAUUGGGAAGAAAAUGACUAGAAAGCUAUAAUUAAAGAUUGGGAUUGGAUUGUUUAGCAUUUAUUGAUGUUAUUAAGUCGAUUAUGUAAAGAUACAAUUGAUUUGGAGCCGAAUUCAAAAGGAAAUGCGGUGUUUGAGGCUUGAGUUAGCCGUGGAAGUUCGAGGUAAGGGUCCGUUCUAACCUUAGCUUGAGGGAUUAGGAGUUGUGUCCUAUUUGCUAAUUGCUUCUUGUUGAGUUAUAUAGGCAUGGUAACGAGUAUCUAUACGUUGAUAUCGAGCAUGACCGUGAGCCUUAAAUUGAUAGUUGUUGUGAUCUUAAAUGAUACUACUAAUACUUUAAUUGAUGAUUCUCAAUAUUGAGCAGGGAUUUAGUUUAUUUACGUGGAUUUUUUUUAUGAUUGAGUAUUGGCAUUAAUUUAGCUGAGUAGAAGAUGAAUAAGAUUGAUUAAAGUUGAUUCUCCCUUGCCGGGAUGUUUGUUUUAAUAUUAUUGUUCCCUUGCCGGGAAGUUAUUAUAUUGCUUUUGUUCCCUUGCCAUGAUUUCUUGUGAUCUUGUGUUGGCUUGAAAUGGGAGAGGGUGGUACGCCUACCACAAGAUAUGAUGAAAUGGGAGCAGGUGAUACGCUUAACUCAAGAUAUGCUGAGAUGGGAACGGAUGGUACGCCUACCACAAGAUAUAAUGAAAUGGGAGCGGGUGGUAUGUCUACCACAAGAUUUAGUGAAAUGGGAGGGGAUUGUAUGCCUACCACAAGAUUUAGUGAAAUAGGAGCGGGCGGUCCGCCUACUACGAGAUUUAAUGAAACGGGAACAGGUGGUACGCCUACCACAAGAUAUAAUAAAAUGGGAGCGGGUGAUAUGUCUACCACGAGAUAAGAGAAAUGGGAUCGGGUUGCACGUCUGCAACAAGAUGCGAACCGAAAGUGAAAUCUGCCUUUAUUUUCCUUAUCCUUGUUAGAAGUUGAAUUUUGAUUUCUAUAUAAUUCUCUUGAGGUUCUGUUUUAUCUGUUAUUCUCCGAAGCAAGUUUUCCCCUUCCCGGCUAUUAUUGUUUGUUCCAGAUUAUUUUCCGCUAUACAUACAUAUAUAUGUGUAUAUAUACAUAUAUACAUAUAUAUAUAUAUAUAUAUAUAUAUAUAUAUAUAUAUAACAGCACAGGUUUAUCUGGGGUCUGGUCCUAACAUCGUCACUACCUCGCCGGGGUUAGGCCAGGCACUUACCAGCACAUGGGGUCGGUUGUACUGAUACUAUAAUCUGCACUCUGUGCAGAUAUCGAAGCAGUACUAGGACACUAGCUUGGGAGUCAACCUUUACUCCACCGAGAUUCCGAGGUAGUCCUGCAGGCGUCGGCAGGCCCGACGUCUCUUCUAUCUGUUAUUAUGUUCUGUUAUCACUUGUAUUCGAGACAGACUGUGUUUUCUUUCUUUCAGACAUUUGUAUGUAGAAAUCACAGACAGUCCGAGAAUGUUGUGACACCGAUUUUUGGGUAGAGACAUAUGUUAACUUUUCGUAUUUAUUUCAGUAUCAUAUUUGUCUAAGACUUACGCUUAAUUUCAUCUUGCGCUUUUAUUUAAAUGUUUAUUACCUGUUAAUGCAAGUUGUUAAAAAGAGUAAAACAAAAGAGUUAAAGAUUUCCAAAUUUCGUGGCUUCCUUAGAUUCUACGAAUAUGCGCCAUCACGACUCCCGAGGGUGAAAAAUCCAGGUCGCGACAAGUUGGUAUCAUAGCUCUAGGUUACAUAGGUCUCACAAUUCACUGACAAGCUCAGUAGAAUCUGAAGGAUCGGUACGGAGACGUCUGUAUUUAACCCCCAGAGGCUACAGAGUUAGGAAAACUUCACAUUUGUUCUUUCUUCGUGCGGUUUUGUUUCUCAAUGCUAAUUGACUUUCUACUAUGUUCUUUCGCAGAUGGCGACAACACCAGCUUCCUUAUCCAUCGGUCAGCAGCCUGAGCCCCCAGCAGCCGCUCCCAUGAGGGGCAUAAGGCGGGGCCGAGGCCAUGCUAGAGACCGAGGUAGGGGCAGAGCUCAGCCCCGAGCAGCAGCACCAGCGGCAGAGCCUCAGGUUGAUUUUGAUGAAGAGGUUCCAGCCCCAGCAGUUCCGGUGGGCCCAGCUCUCGGCCCAGAGGGGUUUAUUGCUACCCCGGUCCUUCGGGAUGCUCUGGUCCGAUUAGUGGGCCUCAUGGAGAGUGUCACACAUGCAGACUUGCUUCCUGUAGCACCAGCCGUCUCUCAGGCUGGAGGAGGAGCCCAAACUCUUGCUACUCGCACUCCGGAGCAGGUAGCUCCCCAGAUUCAGACUCCAGCAGUUCAGCCAGUUGGAGCAGUUCAAUCGGGUGUAGUAGCUCAGACCGGUGAUGGAGCAACUAUGUACGCCGAUGCUUUGUGGAGGCUGGAUAGGUUCACCAAACUCUUCACUUCUACUUUCAGCGGUGCAUCUACUGAGGAUCCUCGGGAUUAUCUAGACAGCUGCCACGAGUUCUCACGAACAUGGGUAUUGUUGAGACCAAUAGGGUCGAUUUUGCUACAUUUUGCUUGUCUGGAUCCGCCAAGACUUGGUGGAGAGUUUAUUGCUUGGCUAGACCAGGAUUGCCAGCCUUGACUUGGGAGCAGUUUACACAGCUAUUUCUGAAGAAGUUUCUCCCCAUAACUCAGAGAGAGGCCUAUCGAGGCAGUUUAAGCACCUCGAGCAGGUUCCAUUACUGUUACCCAGUAUGAGACCAGGUUCAUCGACUUAGCUCGCCAUGCUCUUGUUAUACUUCCUACUGAGAGAGAUCGCAUGAGGAGGUUUAUUAAUGGACUUAUUAAGCCGAUUCGUCUUUAGAUGGCAAGGGAGACUGGGAGUGAGAUAUCUUCCCAAGAGGCAUCCAAUGUGGCCAGGAGAGUGGAGAUGGUUCUGUCACAGGGAUGUAGUCAUGGGUCAGAUAAAAGGCCCCAUCAUUUAGGCAGAUUCAGUGGUACCUCGUCUGUAGGUAGGGAUUCCUAUGGUAGAGGUUAUCCUACUAGGCCUUUUCAGUCAGCACGUCAAGUUUCUCACGGUGCUUCGGGUGGCCGUGAUCCUGUAUUCUGAUCAACAGUCCUACAGCAGACCGCCAGCUGCUAUCAGUGCACCGCCAACUUCAAAGUUAGGGUCGUCAGCCCCAGCAGCCGAAGGGCUUGUCUUACUUGUGGCGAUACGAGGCACAUUGCUAGGUAUUGCCCUCGAUCUUCGAGCAGUUCUCCGUAUCAGGGUUCCCGUGCUAUGGUUCAGGCACCAGGUGUCCCACAGGCCGCCCAGCCAUCUAGAGGUAGGGGUAAAGAUGCUAGAGGUGGAGGUAGAGGAUUUAGAGGUGGAGCUCAGACCGCUAGAGGUUGAGGCCAGCCAGCUACAGGCCAUCCCAGAGAUGUAGUCCAGGGUGGUGGGGCCAGCCCCGAUGUUAUGCUUUUCCGACCAGGCCCGAGGCUGAGGCUUCAGAUACGAUGAUCACAAGUACUAUUCUGGUUUGUGAUAAAGAUGCAUUAGUGUUAUUUGAUCUAGGGUCUACCUACUCAUAUGUGUCAUCUUAUUUUGCAUCGUAUCUCGUUAUGCCUAGUGAUUAACUGAGUGUUCCCGUUUAUGUGUCUACACCGGUGGGUGAUUCUAUUGUGGUAGAUCCAGUCCAUCAUUCUUGUAUUAUGGUGAUUGGGGGCUUGAGACUCAUGUGGAUUUGUUGCUUCUAGACAUGGUCAAUUUCGAUAUUAUAUCGGGGAUGGACGGGUUAUCACCUUACCACGCUAUCUUGGACUAUCAUGCCAAUACCGUAAUCUUAGCUUUACCGGGUUUUCCUCGUUUAGAGUGGAGAGGGACUCCUGGUCAUUUUACCCGUAAUGUUAUCUCUUAUAUGAAGGCUAGGUACAUGGUCGAGAAGGGGUGUUUGGCCUAUUUGGCAUAUGUACGUGAUUCUAGUACUGAGGUUCCUUCUAUUGAUUAUGUGCCUGUUGAGUUUCCAUAGGUAUUCUCUUCAGACCUGCCGGGUAUGCCGCCCGACAGGGAUAUUGACUUUCGCAUUGAUUUGGCUCAGGGCACUCAGCCCAUUUCUACCCUGCCGUAUCGUAUGGCCCCGCCUGAGUUGAAAGAGUUGAAGGAGCAGUUGCAAGACUUGCUUAAGAAGGGUUCCAUUAGACCCAGUGUUUCGCCUCGAGGUGUGCCGGUGUUGUUUGUUAAGAAGGACGGAUCAAGGAGAAUGUGUAUUGUUUAGGCAGUUGAACAAGAUUACAAUCAAAAAUAAGUACCCAUUGCCGAGAAUUGAUGAUUUGUUUGAUCAGCUUCAAGGUGCCAAGAUAUUUUCAAAGAUUGACUUGAGAUCUGGCUACCAUCAGUUGAAGAUUAGGACAUCCGAAUGUCCCUAAGACAACUUUCCGCACUCGGUAUGGACAUUAUGAGUUCUUGGUCAUGUCAUUUGGGUUGACCAAGGCCCCAACAGCUUAUAUGGAUUUGACGAACCGAUUGUUCAGACCUUAUUUGGACUCGUUCGUGAUAGUCUUCGUUGAUGAUAUUUUGAUAUAUUCCAGCAGCCGCGAGGAGCACGAGCAGCAUCUCAGAGUGGUUCUUCAGACUCUGAGGGAUAGUCAGUUAUAUGCUAAGUUUUCAAAGUGCGAGUUCUAGUUGAGUUCAGUUGCAUUCCUGGGUCAUGUUGUAUCAGCCAGGGUAUUCAGGUUGAUCCGAAUAAGAUUGGGGUAGUCAAGAACUGGCCUAGACCAGCAUCAACUACAGAGAUUCGGAGUUUUUUGGGAUUGGCAAGCUACUAUCGUCGGUUCGUGGAGAGGUUCUCAUCUAUCGCAGCCCAGAUGACCAGGUUGACCCAGAAGGGUACCAGUUCAAAUGGUCGGAUAAGUGUGAGGCGAGCCUUCAGAAGCUCAAAACAUCUCUGACCACGGCACCGGUGUGGGUUUUGCCCACAGGAUCAGGGCCUAACACAGUUUAUUGUGAUGCAUCUCGUAUUGGGCUUGGUGUAGUAUUAAUGCAGGAAGGCAAGGUUAUUGCCUAUGCUUCGCGACAGUUGAAGAACUAUCCGGUUCAUGAUUUAGACUCGGCAGCCAUUGUUCACGCAUUGAAGAUUUGGAGGCAUUAUCUGUAUGGUGUGGCAUGUGAGGUGUUCACGCAUCACAAGAGUCUUCAGUAUUUGUUCAAGCAUAAGGAGUUGAACUUGAGGCAGAGGAGCUGGUUGGGGUUGUUGAAAGACUAUGAUAUCACUAUCUUAUAUCACCCGGAAAAAGCCAAUGUGGUGGCCCAUGCUUUGAGUAGAAAGUCAGCCAGUAUAGGCAGUCAUGCUUAUAUUUCGGUCGGUGAGAGGCCACUUGCUUUGGAUGUUCUGGCCAAUUGGUUCGUGUGGGUGGUACGCCUACCACAAGAUAUGAUGAAAUGGAGCGAGUGGUACGCCUACCACAAGAUAUAAUGAAAUGGGAGCGGGUAGUACGCCUACCACAAGAUAUAAUAAAAUGGGAGCGGGUGAUACUCCUACCGCAAGAUAUAACAAAAUAGGAGCGAGUGGUAUGACUACCACAAGAUAUGAUAAAAUAGGAGUGGGUAGCACGCCUGCCACAAGAUACAUGAAAUGGCAUCGGAUUGCACUCCUGCAGUAAGAUGUGAAAAUAAAGUGAAAUCUGUUUGAAACGGGAGCAGGUGGUACGCCUACAACAACAACAACAACAAUAACUGCCCAGUAUACUCCCACCAGGUGGGGCCUGGGGAGGGUAAUAUGUAGACGAGCCUUACCCCUACACUUAUUAUAUUAGUUUUCCAUAGUUUAUAACCAGUUAGGACGAGUUCUGUCACAGUUAUCUUUCUCAUCUUCAAGUUAUGUCAUUAUCUCAAGGAUUCUUCCAAAUGAGAUCAAGCUCCAAAGCCGGUCUUGCAGUGCAGAGCUAUCAUAUUCAAGGAAAACAGGUCUCAUAGUGCCACAUUCUCCUGAACCAGCCAUGUUAACAAAGCUAUUUGCCCUAAAUAAAUAAUGCAUAACGUCAAUGUGACUGAAGAUUGGCUAAAAGCAGAUCCAUACCUCAGAUGUUUCAUGGCCAAAAACAAGUAUCAAAUAGAGCGUGUCAAAAAUAACAGAGGAAUCAACAAGUUCAUAGUUAUAUAAUUUCCCUAGGAAACGCAUGUGAGCAAUACGUCUUUGCUGCAUCCCGAAGUCAUUCAACUCUAAUCCCACCCUGAUCUCCUCCAGAACCUCAUCAACAACGGCUACCACAAGAUAUAAUAAAAUGGGAGCGGGUGGUUCGCCUGCCACGAAAUAUGAGAAAUGGGAUCGGGUUGCAUGCCUACAACAAGAUGUGAACCGAAAGUGAAAUCUGCAUUUAUUUUCUUAUCCAUAUUAGAAGUUGAAUUUUGGUUUCCAUUUAAUUCUCUUGAAGUUCUGUUUUUAUCUAUUAUUGGAAGAAGUUUAGAAUUCGGAUCCAUUGGAGUGUCAACAGGUUUACAACCUGUCAUUCCUGUCUCCUCAAGAAUAUCUAAGGCAUACUUCCGUUGUGANNNNNNNNNNNNNNNNNNNNNNNNNNNNNNNNNNNNNNNNNNNNNNNNNNNNNNNNNNNNNNNNNNNNNNNNNNNNNNNNNNNNNNNNNNNNNNNNNNNNNNNNNNNNNNNNNNNNNNNNNNNNNNNNNNNNNNNNNNNNNNNNNNNNNNNNNNNNNNNNNNNNNNNNNNNNNNNNNNNNNNNNNNNNNNNNNNNNNNNNNNNNNNNNNNNNNNNNNNNNNNNNNNNNNNNNNNNNNNNNNNNNNNNNNNNNNNNNNNNAAGGUCACCGUGUAAAAAUGCAUUUUUAAUGUCCAGCUGAUACAGGGGCCAAUGGCGAACAGCAGCCAUAGAGAGAAAAAGGCGGACUGAUGCUAUCUUGGACACGGGAGAGAAGGUAUCACUGUAAUCAAGCCCAAAUAUCUGAGUAUAUCCCCUGGCAACAAGACGAGCCUUAAAACGAUCAACCUUACCAUCUGGACCAACCUUGACUGCAUACACCCAACGACAACCAACAGUAGAUUUACCUGAAGGAAGAGGGACGAGCUCCCNNNNNNNNNNNNNNNNNNNNNNNNNNNNNNNNNNNNNNNNNNNNNNNNNNNNNNNNNNNNNNNNNNNNNNNNNNNNNNNNNNNNNNNNNNAUGUAAAGCAGACAUCUCGUCAGUCAUAGCCUGUCGCCACCCUGGAUGAGACAAUGCUUCACCUGUAGACUUAGGGAUGGAAACAGAGGCCAAAGAAGAUAGAAAAGCAUAAUAGGGUGAUGACAAACGAUGAUAACUUAAACCGAUAUAAUGUGGGUUAGGAUUAAGGGUGUUCCUUAUACCUUUCCGAAGUGCAAUCGGAAGAGACAAGUCCGCAUUGGGAGCAUGGUCAGGUGCAGGAAGUGAAUCAGCCGGGUCGGAUGCUGGGCGAGGACAACGAUGAUAUGUCAAGAGUGGAGUGUCUUCUGCAGGGAGUCUAGGAGGAGCCACAGUAGAUGGNNNN